AGAGCGAACGCUGGCGGCAGGCCUAACACAUGCAAGUCGAGCGCCCCGCAAGGGGAGCGGCAGACGGGAGAGUAACACGUGGGAACGUGCCCUUUGGUUCGGAACAACACAGGGAAACUUGUGCUAAUACCGGAUAAGUCCGUAAGGAGAAAGAUUUAUCGCCAAAGGAUCGGCCCGCGUCUGAUUAGCUAGUUGGUGAGGUAACGGCUCACCAAGGCGACGAUCAGUAGCUGGUCUGAGAGGAUGAUCAGCCUCACUGGGACUGAGACACGGCCCAGACUCCUACGGGAGGCAGCAGUGGGGAAUAUUGGACAAUGGGCGCAAGCCUGAUCCAGCCAUGCCGCGUGAGUGAUGAAGGCCCUAGGGUUGUAAAGCUCUUUUGUGCGGGAAGAUAAUGACGGUACCGCAAGAAUAAGCCCCGGCUAACUUCGUGCCAGCAGCCGC
rnacentral:rRNA from 1 species